GACGAACGCUGGCGGCGUGCUUAACACAUGCAAGUCGAACGGAAAGGCCCUGCUUUUGUGGGGUGCUCGAGUGGCGAACGGGUGAGUAACACGUGAGUAACCUGCCCUUGACUUUGGGAUAACUUCAGGAAACUGGGGCUAAUACCGGAUAGGAGCUCCUGCUGCAUGGUGGGGGUUGGAAAGUUUCGGCGGUUGGGGAUGGACUCGCGGCUUAUCAGCUUGUUGGUGGGGUAGUGGCUUACCAAGGCUUUGACGGGUAGCCGGCCUGAGAGGGUGACCGGCAACAUGGGGACGGAGAGACGGCCGAGACCCCUAGGGGAGGGAGAGGGGGGGAAUUUGGAACAGGGGGCGGAGGCCUGAGGCAGCACCGCCGGGGGGGGGGGGACGGCCUUGGGUUUGUACACCGCUUUCGCCUGGGACGAAGGGUGAGGGAGGGUAAGGGGUAAAGAGACCCCGGCAAAUUCGGUG
rnacentral:rRNA from 1 species